rnacentral:rRNA from 1 species
GUGGGGAAUAUUGGACAAUGGGGGGAACCCUGAUCCAGCCAUGCCGCGUGUGUGAAGAAGGCCUUUUGGUUGUAAAGCACUUUAAGCGAGGAGGAGGCUACCGAGAUUAAUACUCUUGGAUAGUGGACGUUACUCGCAGAAUAAGCACCGGCUAACUCUGUGCCAGCAGCCGCGGUAAUACAGAGGGUGCGAGCGUUAAUCGGAUUUACUGGGCGUAAAGCGUGCGUAGGCGGCUUUUUAAGUCGGAUGUGAAAUCCCCGAGCUUAACUUGGGAAUUGCAUUCGAUACUGGGAAGCUAGAGUAUGGGAGAGGAUGGUAGAAUUCCAGGUGUAGCGGUGAAAUGCGUAGAGAUCUGGAGGAAUACCGAUGGCGAAGGCAGCCAUCUGGCCUAAUACUGACGCUGAGGUACGAAAGCAUGGGGAGCAAACAGGAUUAGAAACCCCGGUAGUCC